UACGAACUGUGCAAACGUUAUUCGGAAUCACUGGGCUUAAAGGGUGCGUAGGCGGCUUGUUAAGUAGGGUGUGAAAGCCCCCGGCUCAACCGGGGAAUUGCGCCCUAAACUGGCGAGCUGGAGUGAGAUAGGGGUGUGUGGAACUUCCGGUGGAGCGGUGAAAUGCGUAGAGAUCGGAAAGAACACCAACGGCGAAAGCACUCUGCUGGGCCGACACUGACACUGAGAGACGAAAGCUAGGGGAGCGAAUGGG
rnacentral:rRNA from 1 species